AAAAUAAAAUUUGAUUUUAAAAAAAUUUAAUUUUUAAACUAGGAUUAGAUACCCUAUUAUUUUAAGCUUAAUAUUGGUAGUAAGUAAAAAUUAUGAAAUCAUAAAAUUUUGGCGGUAUUUUAAGCUUGUUAGAGGAAUUUGCUCUAUAAUGGAUACAACGCCUAUAUCUUACUUAAUUUUGUAAUUAAAGUCAGUUUGUAUACCACUAUAUUUAAUUAUAUUGAAUAAUUAUAUUUAAGAUUUUUAUACAAAUAUAUAUUAAGUCAAGGUGCAACAAAUAAUUA
rnacentral:rRNA from 1 species